rnacentral:rRNA from 1 species
ACGGGAGGCAGCAGUGGGGAAUAUUGCACAAUGGGCGAAAGCCUGAUGCAGCGACGCCGCGUGAGCGAUGAAGUAUUUCGGUAUGUAAAGCUCUAUCAGCAGGGAAGAUAAUGACGGUACCUGACUAAGAAGCACCGGCUAAAUACGUGCCAGCAGCCGCGGUAAUACGUAUGGUGCAAGCGUUAUCCGGAUUUACUGGGUGUAAAGGGAGCGCAGGCGGUACGGCAAGUCUGAUGUGAAAGCCCGGGGCUCAACCCCGGUACUGCAUUGGAAACUGUCGAACUAGAGUGUCGGAGGGGUAAGUGGAAUUCCUAGUGUAGCGGUGAAAUGCGUAGAUAUUAGGAGGAACACCGGUGGCGAAGGCGGCUUUCUGGACAGUUACUGACGCUGAGGCGCGAAAGCGUGGGGAGCAAACAGGAUUAGAUACCCUGGUA